rnacentral:rRNA from 1 species
AUGGCGAUGGAUUUUCCAAUCGAUCCGGUCGACAGUGGAUGCAGGUUACCCAUCUUCCCGGAGGAGGCAGGGAGCGUGGUAGCUCACAUCGGUGGUAUGUUUGGAGCCGGACUUGGUGCAGAUGAAGAAUCGGCAAACGGGUCCCGUGGGGAACGGGGGGAGGCGGCCAACGAGGAGUCGAGGAGCAGUGAGAUUCUGGGUGCACCUUGUCGGGGCAGAUUGGGAGUGUUGCCCCCCUACAAGGCACAACCGAGUGUGGCGGCUGGUGGUGGCGCCGUGUCGUCUGCUUUCAGCCAGAGCGAGGGGGGUAGCGCAGAUGUCAUUGAGCAUGGAGUCACUAAAGGCCCCGUCAAUGGAGAUCAGUUGGCUCUAAUUGAAAGCGUGCUGAGAGUGAUGAUGCAGCAUCCGCUCAGUCUACUCGCAACAUGGAUCUGCAAGCCCCAAGUUGGACUAGAAGGGCAAGAGUAG